AGUAGCUCUAGUGGAUGAUAAUAUUAGGGAGAGUCUACUUAGAUGGUUUGGUCACAUAAAAUGGUGCGGAGAUAAGAGAGUUGCUAAAAUGGUUAGGAUUGACUAUUUAUUGUGGCCAAUAUAUUAUUUAGUUUCUUUUGUCAAUGGAUGUUACAGCAUAUAGAUAAUACUCGGCAUUACAAGGUCUUGCCGCAUAAAGGUGAAAGAGUUAUGGGUGAUAUUAUUUUUGUUCAUGAAAUCAGUUUGCCCCGCCCUAGCCGUAAUGCCAGAGACAAAAAGCUUCAAUAGGCAACCUGUGCAGACUUCAUGAUUUUAGCUUUUUAUGGCUGUAGCUGCGGAAUCAAAGUUGAAGCUUGUUCUCAACUUUUCUGAAGUCUUGGCAAAUCAAUUGUUCUCAUGGAGCUCAUGAGCUCACCUUGAUCUGGUGGUUGGCUUAAAUGUCCCAAAAAUAAUUGUCUGUGACUGUAAUCCCAGUUGUGGUUGCAUUCUUGCUAGCUGGCAAUCCUCCAUGCCCUGGAAUUGCGAUUUAGGCUGGAUUUGGGUCAAAUCCAGCCAAACAGCCAGAUGCAAAACUAAAUCUCACGGUAAAUCAAAGCUGCCCGUUGACCAAAAAUUCCCUCUUUUCGUGGUAAAUUCUGGAUUUAUGAAAUCCUUUGGGUCAGCAGAUUUACGGGAUUUGGCCGAAGAAGUGCGCGAAAGGGAGAAAGUUACCUUCACAGCAAGCAAGCUCCUGUUGUUGCUUCUGAUAAAAAAAAUGUCUUAACUUCCGAUCCAACAGGAAUGGAAUGUGGUCAAAGGAGCAAAGUGGAACAGCGACAAAGAAGAACUCUGUGCAAAACUCUACACUUAUGUGAAGGAACGAAGCUGAAAGAAAUAGAGAAGAGAAAACUAGAACCUAAGAGUUGUGCAUUGAACUGCCAAACAAUCUCUACUCAAGUCUGGUCUACAGAUUUAUAACUUGAUUUCUUGAAGUGCAGAAUGAACAUUUCAAAAGGCAUUCAAACAUAACUAUCUUUCAAAGAUUUUUUGGGAAUAUGGCGAAUAUUGAUGACUGUUUUGGGGCCUGACCAGUGAUCGUUCACGUGCGUGAGCUAGCUAUCUUUUCUCUUGUCUACUUUAUUUGGCAAGAAAGGAAUGCUAGACUUUUCUGGAAUGAAUUUGAAGUUCCUGACGAAACCUAUUUUAUCAUACAUCGAGCAUUAAUGUCUAAACUUUAAAAGUGGAAAAGCUGCAGGGAGAUCAACAUUAUCAUUGGUUCGUGACUGGAGCGGUUCUGUUUUUGCUGUUCCUAUCGGGUUCUUUUUGGUGUUUUGGUAUUGCUGGACGGUGAUGAGGCUAUGCUGUCACCUCAACCCUUGAUGGCCGUAGCUUUAUAUUAGCAACCAUGCUGCAUUUCUCCUGAUAUCUGUUAUUCUGUGAUCCUGUCUGCGCUUUUAUGCUCCUCAAACUAUAUUCUUUUUUACCAUUUGAUGGCUAUAUUGCUCGGCAACUGGGUUGAUCUGAUCCUGGAUGAUUACUUCAACUUAUGGUGGGAGCUUUGUUCGGCCGUCUGAGUCCAGAAUGUUUUUCCCUUUCUUUGCUCUAUGGUUUAAAUUUACUUGUCAUUGUGGUCUAACUGACCUGAUAUAGUUUUGGUUUUUAUUUAAAGCUCUAAUAUGUCCUUUUCUUUUUCUCUCUUUUUGAGUUGUAAUUGGGUCACCUUUUGUAACUUUUCAUUAUAGUUAUGAAAAUGGGCGCUGUCCUUUAAUUA